ensembl:lncRNA
CAUGAAGCUCCGAAUGUCCCUGUGUUUCAGAACUGUGCCGGACUCUUCUCCGCCAAGUAAUUGAUGAGGAAGCUGAGCAGAGACCUGUAUGUCCCACCUAGUACCAGCAGCACCACCUUCCCUCCUGUUCAUGCCACAGAACUGUUGUGAGCACCAGCAGUAUUGGGGAGCAGAAACAAUGUUCCUGCUGAGGAAAGGCACCCCUGGAUCCACCUUUACUUCCUUCCUGGAGAGGGUCCCUCUCUGGCAGCAACAGUUUCUGUAGGAAUGAUCUGAUCCACAAGUUUGCUCUAUGAUUUGAAAGAAGCAGCUUCCUCCUAGCAGAUUCUGGAUGUGUUGAGAGAAUGAUCCUCCACAGUGCCAUAGGCCAGCA